rnacentral:lncRNA from 1 species
GAAGUAGUACUGGGGCUGGGGCUAGAGGUAGCACUGGGGCUGGGGUUAGAGGUAGUACCGGGGCUGGGGUUAGAGGUAGUACCGGGGCUGGGGUUAGAGGUAGUACUGGGGGUAAGAGGUAGUACUGGGGCUGGGGUUAGAGGUAGUACUGGGGCUAGAGGUAGUACUGAGGCUGGGGUUAGAGGUAGUACUGGGGCUGGGGUUAGUGGUAGUACCGGGACUGGGGUUAGAGGUAGUGCUGGGGUUAGAGGUAGUACCGGGGCUGGGGUUAGAGGUAGUACUGGGGCUGGGGUUAGAGGUAGUACCAGGGCUGGGGUUAGAGGUAGUACCGGGGCUGGGGUUAGAGGUAGUACCGGGGCUGGGGUUAGAGGUAGUACCGGGGCUGGGGUUAGAGGUAGUGUUGGGGGUUAGAG